AUACGUAGGGGGCGAGCGUUGUCCGGAAUGAUUGGGCGUAAAGGGCGCGUAGGCGGCGCGGUAAGUCUGGAGUGAAAGUCCUGCUUUCAAGGUGGGAAUUGCUUUGGAUACUGCCGCGCUUGAGUGCAGUAGUGGUUAUCGGAAUUCCCGGUGUAGCGGUGAAAUGCGUAGAGAUCGGGAGGAACACCAGUGGCGAAGGCGGGUAACUGGACUGCAACUGACGCUGAGGCGCGAAAGUGUGGGGAGCAAACAUGAUUAGAUACCCUGGUAGUCCACACUGUAAACGAUGAAUGCUAGGUGUAAGAGGUAUCGACCCCUUUUGUGCCGGAGUCAACACAAUAAGCAUUCCGCCUGGGGAGUACGGCCGCAAGGUUGAAACUCAAAGGAAUUGACGGGG
rnacentral:rRNA from 1 species